UGUAUAAAGCGCAACGGUAGCGCGUUCGACUCCAGAUCGAAAGGUUAUCCGUUCAAAUCGGGUGUGGUUCAA